rnacentral:rRNA from 1 species
GAUGAACGCUGGCGGCGUGCCUAAUACAUGCAAGUCGAGCGAACAGACGAGGAGCUUGCUCCUCUGACGUUAGCGGCGGACGGGUGAGUAACACGUGGAUAACCUACCUAUAAGACUGGGAUAACUUCGGGAAACCGGAGCUAAUACCGGAUAAUAUAUUGAACCGCAUGGUUCAAUAGUGAAAGACGGUUUUGCUGUCACUUAUAGAUGGAUCCGCGCCGCAUUAGCUAGUUGGUAAGGUAACGGCUUACCAAGGCAACGAUGCGUAGCCGACCUGAGAGGGUGAUCGGCCACACUGGAACUGAGACACGGUCCAGACGCCUACGGGAGGCAGCAGUAGGGAAUCGUCCGCAAUGGGCGAAAGCCUGACGGAGCAACGCCGCGUGAGUGAUGAAGGUCUUCGGAUCGUAAAACUCUGUUAUUAGGGAAGAACAAAUGUGUAAGUAACUAUGCACGUCUUGACGGUACCUAACCAGAAAGCCACGGCUAACUACGUG